rnacentral:rRNA from 1 species
UAGGGAAUCUUCCGCAAUGGGCGAAAGCCUGACGGAGCACCGCCGCGUGAGUGAUGAAGGUCUUCGGAUCGUAAAACUCUGUUAUUAGGGAAGAACAAAUGUGUAAGUAACUAUGCACGUCUUGACGGUAUCUAAUCAGAAAGCCACGGCUAACUACGUGCCAGCAGCCGCGGUAAUACGCAGGUGGCAAGCGUUAUCCGGAAUCAUUGGGCGUAAAGCGCGCGUAGGCGGCUUUUUAAGUCUGAUGUGAAAGCCCACGGCUCAACCGUGGUGGGUCAUUGGAAACUGGAAAUCUUGAGUGCAGAAGAGGAAAGUGGAAUUCCAUGUGUAGCGGUGAAAUGCGCAGAGAUAUGGGGGAACACCAGUGGCGAAGGCGACAUUCUGGGCUGUAGCAGGCGCUGAUGUGCGAGAGCGUGGGGAUCAAACAGG